CCUACGGGAUGCUGCAGUGAGGAAUAUUGGUCAAUGGGCGCGAGCCUGAACCAGCCAAGUCGCGUGAGGGAAGACGGUCCUAUGGAUUGUAAACCUCUUUUGUCGGGGAGCCAAAGACGCCACGCGUGGCGUUCCGAGAGUACCCGAAGAAAAAGCAUCGGCUAACUCCGUGCCAGCAGCCGCGGUAAUACGGAGGAUGCGAGCGUUAUCCGGAUUUAUUGGGUUUAAAGGGUGCGCAGGCGGAAGAUGAAGUCAGCGGUAAAAUUGAGAGGCUCAACCUCUUCGAGCCGUUGAAACUGGUUUUCGUGAGUGAGUGAGAAGUAUGCGGAAUGCGUGGUGUAGCGGUGAAAUGCAUAGAUAUCACGCAGAACUCCGAUUGCGAAGGCAGCAUACCGGCGCUCAACUGACGCUCAUGCACGAAAGUGUGGGUAUCGAACAGGAUUAGAUACCCGAGUAGUC
rnacentral:rRNA from 1 species